rnacentral:rRNA from 1 species
UACAGGGGGUGCAAGCGUUGUUCGGAAUCAUUGGGCGUAAAGCGCACGUAGGCGGUCUGUUAUGUCGGAUGUGAAAGCCCUUGGCUUAACUGAGGAAGUGCAUCCGAAACUGGCAGGCUAGAGUACUAAAGAGGGUCGCGGAAUUCCCGGUGUAGAGGUGAAAUUCGUAGAUAUCGGGAGGAACACCGGCGGCGAAGGCGGCGACCUGGGUAGAUACUGACGCUGAGGUGCGAAAGCGUGGGGAGCAAACAGG